rnacentral:lncRNA from 1 species
GGCUUGCAUCUUUUAAAUGGAAAUAACAAGUGUUGAUGAGGAAGUAGAGCAGUCCGGAAGUCUCCUAGGUUGCUGGUGGGAGCAGGAAGUCAGAGCAGCUUCUGAAAACCAGCCCAGGAAUAAGGGCUAAGGGAGCUGAACCUCCCGGCCUCAGAGACCACUGUCCUGAUUGCCCAGCAGGCUCCGUCUGAUUGUGCAGGGGUUGAACGAUGAAGCCCUGCUGUUCUACUUUUUUUUUUUUUUCUUUCUGCCUCAGCACGUGGCAAAGGUACUUAACCAAGUCCUUCCAAGCUCACCUCGGGAUCGGCCCUGCCCCUCUAGCCCCACAGCCUCUGCCUCAGCUCCAGGCCCUGUCACGGGAGCCGGAUCUCAGCCACUCUUCUAGACAGUGUCCCGGGCAGACUCAGCCUCUCCUCUCCCCGGCCUGUCCCCCUACACCCUCCAGCCAGGGGUCCCUGGCCACUGCGAUCUUCCUGUCUCUGCUGCCCUUCAAUGUUGAUCUGCACUGAGGCAUCAAGAGGAAGCAGGAAAUCGUGCCUUCCACGUCUGUCUGGUGAGCUUGCCCACACAUCCAGCUCUGGAAACAGAGAGCCUCAGCCCCCAGAAUAUGCUCUCCUGUCUCCUUCCCGCUCCACCACUCUCCCAAAUGAGGGCACCGACCUCCGACACCACAGUCUGCAC